AAGUCGUAACAAGGUUUCCGUAGGUGAACCUGCGGAAGGAUCAUUACAACGUAUAUCCACGUACCAAACUCUCGAACCGUUCCCAACGAAGCAAACACUUGUGGAUGAAGUUAAUGGCUGUCUUUCGCUGAUGGAGUCCGCUGACUUUUGUCAAAGGGACUGAAAGGCAUUCGGUCGCCGGAGCUCGUCUCUGGGGCUUCGUUUACUUCGUUGCGGUUUUACCGUCAGCGUUUGUAAUACCAUUAUUGACCCUUUGAACUUAUGAACUGAACUUGAUAGCUUUGCAGCUGUCCUUGCUGGCUUCGGUCACGGACAUAACUGCUCAGCUUAUCACAUUUACAAAACAAAGAACAACUCUUAGCAACGGAUAUCUUGGUUCUC
rnacentral:misc_RNA from 1 species